CUACGUGCCAGCAGCCGCGGUAAUACGUAGGGUGCGAGCGUUAAUCGGAAUAACUGGGCGUAAAGGGCACGCAGACGGUUACUUAAGCAGGAUGUGAAAUCCCCGGGCUCAGCCUGGGAACUGCGUUCUGAACUGGGUGACUAGAGUGUGUCAGAGGGAGGUAGAAUUCCACGUGUAGCAGUGAAAUGCGUAGAGAUGUGGAGGAAUACCGAUGGCGAAGGCAGCCUCCUGGGAUAACACUGACGUUCAUGCUCGAAAGCGUGGGUAGCAAACAGGAUUAGAUACCCUGGUAGUCCACGCCCUAAACGAUGUCAAUUAGCUGUUGGGCAACUUGAUUGCUUAGUAGCGUAGCUAACGCGUGAAAUUGACCGCCUGGGGAGUACGGUCGCAAGAUUAAAACUCAAAGGAAUUGACGGGGACCCGCACAAGCGGUGGAUGAUGUGGAUUAAUUCGAUGCAACGCGAAGAACCUUACCUGGUCUUGACAU
rnacentral:rRNA from 1 species